UACAGGGGGGGCAAGCGUUGUUCGGAAUUACUGGGCGUAAAGGGUUCGUAGGUGGCCACUUAAGUCAGACGUGAAAUCCCUCAGCUUAACUGGGGAACUGCGUCUGAUACUGGGUGUUGAUUGCAUGGGAGAGGAAUGCGGAAUUCCAGGUGUAGCGGUGAAAUGCGUAGAUAUCUGGAGGAACACCGGUGGCGAAGGCGGCUCACUGACCGGUACUGACGCUGAGGCGCGAAAGCCAGGGGAGCAAACGGG
rnacentral:rRNA from 1 species